GGGCUCGCUUCCACAGCACGUACACUAAAACUGGAACAUACAGAGAUUAGGAUGGCCCCUGUGUAAGGAUGACAUGCAAAUUCCUGAAGUGUCCCAUUUAAAA
rnacentral:snRNA from 1 species